ACGACUCUCGGCAACGGAUAUCUCGGCUCAUGCAUCGAUGAAGAACGUAGCAAAAUGCGAUACUUGGUGUGAAUUGCAGAAUCCCGUGAACCAUCGAGUUUUUGAACGCAAGUUGCGCCCAAAGCCAUUCGGUCGAGGGCACGUCUGCCUGGGCGUCACG
rnacentral:rRNA from 1 species